rnacentral:tRNA from 1 species
AGUAAUAUGUCUGAUAAAAAGUAAUAAACUGUAAAUUUAUUUAUAGAAAUUAAAAUUUUCUUGUUACUA